AGCAAAGAGAGAGGCAGAGAAUAAAAGAGGAGCUGUGAGCCGGCCUGCUGCUUCCAGACCUGCUCCCUGCAACAGUCCUCCCAGAAAGCAACCUACAGUACAAACACUGCUUCUUCUAAUGCCACCUCUAGAACUCCACCACUGCUGCUGCAGAGCCUGACAGCAGACGCGCCGCCGUCCAGCCACCAGGACAAGAUCAGGACGAGCGGCGUGGGCGUGCAACAAGAAGGGAGGUUAAUGAUCAGCGAGGGGCUGAAAGGAGAGAGAGGGAGAGCGAGUGGGCAGGAAGUCUGCAGGAACAGAGUGGGACAAGAAGAAGAUUAAAUGACGCCCACGCGGGCUGUCUGGGUGGUGAAGAGACUACAGGAGAGAGAGAAAGAGAGAGAGGUCAAGAGGUCAGAGCUCCAGUGUGUAUAAAUUCAUGUUGUUCAUGAGUUCUACUUUUGUUACUUCAUUAAGUACUUUGCGUGUUUAUAGAGUUUUUAACCCUGGAUAUUAACAGCUCAUCACACAACAGGACAUCAUGGGAUGUCUUAUAAAUAGAAUGAUACUUUUAAGGUCCUUUUCAUGUGGAUGUGUAUGCAUGUUAAGCUUUUCGCUUGUCAUUUAACAUCAUUACAGAUGGCACAUUUUCAACAUGUUAAAAACAGUCAGGUGACAUUGUGAAACCCUCACUUCAUUUAGAGGUUUUCUGUAACUUUCAGAAAAACAGUGUUAAUAGUGACACCAGUGGCCAUCAAUUGAACUGCAGUCAGCGUCCUGUUGCUCCCACUCACUCUCUGUACAUAGUCUGCAGGCUCCAGCGAGUGUUAUCUUGGGCAUCGGCCAAAAGUGACAUAAGCUAGACUUUCAGUGUUUUAAAAAGCUCUCUCCAGAUUCUCUACAGUUUGUUUCACAACCCAAGACAAUGAGGGGAGAGCUGUUCAAGAAACCACUUUGCAUUUAGAAAUCUACAUACGAUUGGUAGAUGGGAAGAUCUCCAAUUGCCUGGUAUCCCCAGACUACCAACUGGUUAAUCCUGAAGCUUCCAACUUCAGUUCAGUGCCACAGGUCUGCUAGAGAGCAAACAAAGGCUCUAGAUUCGACGUAAUCUUUACACUUUGAUAUUACAACUCUGAGUUGGACAUACUGUAUUUUGUUCAGUAGUAGCCUAUUUAUUGUGGUUAUAGACUGUAGUGGGUUAUAUAUAUAUAAUUUAUAAUCCAUGCUACAUAUUUCAGCCCACAUACCCAAUAUUUACUUUGCAGUUACAUUGGAAAAGGGGUGAACAGGGGCCACUUUAUUUUACAGCCUGCAAACUGUAAUUAUGUGAAUGAAUUAUAUGAAAAAGGCUGAGCAAGGGACGUUUAAUUUUGCAGUAAAGCUUGUGUCUAGAAAUAAACCUUCGUAUUCUCAACAAUCUGUAUGAAAGUCAUUUUUUAAACCCCUUCCACGUCCCACGAGAACCAUUAUAUGUAGCAUACAGUAGAAGUGUUGGAUCAGGGCUUGAUAAUCAGUUGUGUCCUGUUAAGUGUCUGUCUUUCUGUAUAUAUAAUAUAAUAUAAAUCAAGAUUUUCCUUUUUUGUUGUUGUUGUUGUUGUUGUAUGUAAUAAAAUGGAAAAUGAAAAAAGAGCUUGUAUGUGUUUGAAACAAUAAAAUCAAAAGCAGAAACUAAGUGUCCCUGUUUUUCUGGUGCUCCUCCACUUUCAAAAGACUCAAGCUGCUUCUUGAUAGGCCGACCUUCAUACCUCUUGUGGGGUCAUGACCUCCAGGUUGGCUCAGCCUGGUUUCUGUCUUGUCUCAGGUCAGGAGUGGAAUCUGAGAAUCAGCCACACACCUCAGACUAUCUGUUCCUGUCUCUGACUGUUUGGUCUGCAUAUUUGGGAUGUUCAACCAGGAUGUAGCACAGUCCUGGAUCAGGGUUAAUUAAGAAAUACGAUUAGAGAGCAGCGAUAUAAAAAAAGUGCACAGUUUGAACUUGUCCUCACUUCUGAGAAAUGCAGCAAUCUGAUUGGACAAAUAAGUUUCCUGUCCUUUUGCGUUCUCCGUCUAUCUCCUCUAAC
rnacentral:lncRNA from 15 species